AAACUAGGAUUAGAUACCCUAUUAUUUAGGAACCUAAAUUGUAAGUAAUAAAGAUUAUGAAAGCAAAAAAUUAUGGCGGUAUUUUAAGCUUUUCAGAGGAAUUUGCUCUUUAAUGGAUAAAACACCUAAAUCUUACUUAAAUUUGUUAAUUCAAUUUGUAUACCACUAUAAAAACAAUUUAUAACUUUAAUUGUUGAUAUUUAUUAAAUUAAAAUAUAUUAAGUCAAGGUGCAGUAAAAAUUUAAGGAUGAAGUGAAUUACAUUACUUUUUAGAGAAAUAAAUUUAAAAUAAUAUUUAGGAUUUGAAAGUAAAAUUAAAAUAUAAUGUUAAUUUGAAUUAAGCUCUAAAAUAUGUACACAUCGCCCGUCGCUCUCAUU
rnacentral:rRNA from 1 species